AUCGAACGCUGGCGGCAUGCCUAACACAUGCAAGUCGAACGAGACCUUCGGGUCUAGUGGCGCACGGGUGCGUAACGCGUGGGAAUCUGCCCUUGGGUUCGGGAUAACAGUUGGAAACGACUGCUAAUACCGGAUGAUGUCUUCGGACCUAAGAUUUAUCGCCCAAGGAUGAGCCCGCGUAGGAUUAGCUUGUUGGUGAGGUAAGAGCUCACCAAGGCGACGACCCUUAGCUGGUCUGAGAGGAUGAUCAGCCACACUGGGACUGAGACACGGCCCAGACUCCUACGGGAGGCAGCAGUGGGGAAUAUUGGACAAUGGGCGAAAGGCCUGAUCCAGCAAUG
rnacentral:rRNA from 1 species